rnacentral:lncRNA from 1 species
CCCAUCACAUUAGCUUAAACAAUGGAGCACGAUAAUUAACAUAGUUAAUCAAUUUAUAAUGAAAACACAAGCACUAAGUUUCUACCCAUAUCCUCAAUCAAUCAUAUGAAAAGUAAUUCUCACACCCAUACCUUAGAUUUCAAACUUUAAGCCUCCCUAGCUUCAAAUUCUUCCCCUCUACUUGAUCUUUAAGCUUGUUCUAGCUCUUUGUCUUCUUUGGUCUCUAUCUUCUUUCUUUUCUCUCAAUUUUCUCUCUAUU